rnacentral:rRNA from 1 species
UAUAAAUGUAAAAUGAAUUAUUAAAAGAUUAAUAGUUAUGAUCUUUAAAUUUAAAAAAUUUGGCGGUAUUUUAGUCUAUUUAGAGGAACCUGUUCUAUAAUUGAUAAUCCACGAUUAGAUUUACUUAAUAUUAAUAAGUUUGUAUAUCGUUGUUUAAAAGAUUUUAUAAGAAGAUAAAUUUUUUAUAAAUUAAAUUAAAUUAUUAAUCAAAUCAAGGUGCAGUUUAUAUUUAAGAAGAAAUGGGUUACAAUAAAUUUUAUUUAUAUGGAUUAAUUUAUAUUUAAAAAUAUUUAUGAAGGUGGAUUUAAAAGUAAUUUUAAUAAUUUAAUUAAAGUGAUUAUAGCUCUAAAAUAUGU